UACAGAGGUCCCAAGCGUUGUUCGGAUUUACUGGGCGUAAAGGGUGCGUAGGUGGCGAGGUAAGUUCGAUGUGAAAUCUCCGAGCUCAACUCGGAAAUGGCAUUGAAUACUAUCCCGCUGGAGGGUCGGAGGGGAGACUGGAAUUCUCGGUGUAGCAGUGAAAUGCGUAGAUAUCGGGAGGAACACCGAUGGCGAAGGCAGGUCUCUGGGCUGACACUGACGCUCAUGCACGAAAGCGUGGGGAGCAAACAGG
rnacentral:rRNA from 1 species